AUAUCAUUCAAUUGUUUAAUUAGUUCAUUACUUGGCAAAAUGCGUAAUGUCUUAGUCCUAUUGGCUGCAAGCUUAGCAGCUGUUGCAGCUGCGCCGAGAAACCCGCAAAGAAUAGUCGGCGGUUCAGUAACUACCAUCGAGCAGUAUCCAGAGAUUGUCGCUUUUAUUCUCCCAGUUUGGUAUCCUGUAUAGCCAAGCAUGCGGCGGCACUAUUCUCAACAACAGAUCCAUUCUGACUGCAGCUCACUGUCCAGCAGGCGACCGAGUUUCACGUUGGCGUGCGCGCAUUGGCUCCACUCGAUCCAACAGCGGUGGCAUAGUUUACAAUUUCAAUUCCUUCAUCAUACACCCUAAUUACAAUAGAAGAACUUUA